UGCCAGCAGCCGCGGUAAUACGUAGGGGGCCAGCGUUGCUCGGAAUUACUGGGCGUAAAGGGUUCGUAGGUGGUGCGGUAAGUUGGGAGUGAAAUCUCUGGGCUUAACUCAGGGGCUGCUUUCAAAACUGCCGUGCUUGAGUGCGAGAGAGGCCAGUGGAAUUGCAGGUGUAGCGGUGAAAUGCGUAGAUAUCUGCAGGAACACCCGUGGCGAAGGCGGCUGGCUGGAUCGCAACUGACACUGAGGAACGAAAGCUAGGGGAGCAAACAGGAUUAGAUACCCUGGUAGUCCUAGCCCUAAACCAUCAGAACUUGGGGUGGCCCGCGUAGGCGGGUCGUCCCGCAGCUAACGCGUUAAGUUCUGCGCCUGGGGAGUACGGUCGCAAGACUGAAACUCAAAGGAAUUGAUCGGGGGCCCGCACAAG
rnacentral:rRNA from 1 species